rnacentral:sRNA from 1 species
GUUUAGCCCAGAUAGUAGUUGAAAGCCUUGAACGAAAUAAAACUAUUUUUCUUGUAAGUCCAAAACGACUGAAAGAAACUUCUACGAGUCUAAGAAAAAAGUUUUAUCUCCAAGAACUUGAAACGAAUGACUGGAUUUACU